ensembl:lncRNA
GUAAAGAGCCCUGCAUCUCGCAGGAAUGACCACCCGAGGGUCUCCGUGAGGCUGUGACUCUCCAGGUCAAGAGUGGAGUUGAGCAGUGCCCUGGUGUAGACAGUGGAGCUCGGAUGGGAGAACCUUAGGAGGGCACCUGAGUCCCAGCCCUCUGUGUCUUUACAGGUCCAAGCUCUGGUGCUGGAGGGACAAGCCCCAGAUGGGGGUCAGGACAGGGGUCCCCUGCUUGUCUGCUCCUCUGUGGGCAGGUCUCCGGGGUCUCUGGGCCCAGGGGUGUCCUGUCCGCUGUGUGUGAAGCGGGAGGAGCUCCGGCUCUGAAGUUCCUCUUCUGUAAACAGAGUCUCUUGCUCCUCCCCAGCUUCCCUCGCCUCUCCCCAGCCCUACCUCCCUCUCCCUUCCCUUCUCUUUUCACACACUGGACGCCCAGACACCCUCCUGCUCAGACAUGCUGCCGCUGCUGCUGCCGCUGCUGCUAUGGGCAGAUGCCCCGCAGAACCUGGAUAUUCGGGUCUUCUGGGAAAACAGCACAGG